rnacentral:misc_RNA from 1 species
AGAAAGCGGGUAGAGGCCACUGAAUUUCCAAAGCAGCAGAAUACCUCUGUGGCAAGGCAAAGUUCUGGGCACUUGCUUUCACCACAUCUGCCACUACAAGGCAUAUAGCCAGCACAACAGACAUACCUUGACAUAUCAUUGUAAAGAGCUCGUUUGCGGAGCAAGUAUGAUACGCAUGGCCCACACCAAAAAGAAAAGCAGCAAUAAGGGGUGUCAGCUUGGAUAGUUCUCAUGAGAUCAGUGUGCCAGAGAUUCCUGUAAUUCUGGCGGAUCUGCAUCUUGUCCAGAUGCUCCCGAGAAGCCAUGGCGACCCAAAAGCAGGCACACCACUAGAUUGCGGAGAUUUGAGAAUUGAAAUCAG